CCUUAACCUGCUAAAUAGUCCUGUCAACUAUAGUUGAUGAGGACUUCUUAGAGGGACUAUCUGUGACUAACAGAUGGAAGUUUGAGGCAAUAACAGGUCUGUGAUGCCCUUAGAUGUUCUGGGCCGCACGCGCGCUACACUGAUAAAGUCAGCGAGUAUUCACCUUGACCGGAAGGUCUGGGUAAUCUUUUGAAACUUUAUCGUGAUGGGGAUUGACCAUUGCAAUUAUUGGUCAUGAACGAGGAAUUCCUAGUAAGCGCAAGUCAUCAGCUUGCGUUGAUUACGUCCCUGCCCUUUGUACACACCGCCCGUCGAUACUACCGAUUGAAUGGCUUAGUGAGACCUUUGGAAAGGGUCUCAUGGCCGCAAGGCAUAUGAGAUCUUUGAAAUUGGUCAAACUUGGUCAUUUAGAGGAAGUAAAAGUCG
rnacentral:rRNA from 1 species